GAUGAACGCUGGCGGCGUGCUUAACACAUGCAAGUCGAACGAUGAAGCCCAGCUUGCUGGGUGGAUUAGUGGCGAACGGGCGAGUAACACGUGAGUAGCCUGCCCUUAACUCUGGGAUAAGCCUGGGAAACUGGGUGUAAUACCUAACAGGUGCGUUCACCGCCUGGAGGGUGUUGUAAAGAUUUAUCGGUUUUGGCUGGACUCUCGGCCUAUCCGCGUGUUGGUGAAGAAAUGGCACACCAAGGCGAUGCCGGGUAGCCGACCCGAGAGGGUGGCCGGCGACCAGAGGCCUGCGACACGGCGCAGACUCCUACGGGAGGCAGCGGUGGGGAACAUUGCACAGUGGGCGCAAGCCUGAUGCAGCGGUCCCGCGUGCGGGAUGCCCUCCUUCGAGUUGUAAACCUCUUUCAGUAGGAAAGAAGCGAAAGUGACGGUACCUGCAGAAGAAGCCCCGGCUAACUACGUG
rnacentral:rRNA from 1 species